rnacentral:rRNA from 1 species
UACGGAGGGUGCAAGCGUUGUUCGGAAUUACUGGGCGUAAAGGGCGUGUAGGCGGUGUGGUAUGUCAGAUGUGAAAGCCCUGGGCUUAACCCAGGAAGUGCAUUUGAAACUGCCAUGCUUGAGUAUGGGAGAGGAGAGUGGAAUUCCCAGUGUAGAGGUGAAAUUCGUAGAUAUUGGGAGGAACACCCGUGGCGAAGGCGACUCUCUGGACCAAUACUGACGCUGAGGCGCGAAAGCGUGGGGAGCAAACAGG